AGGCCUAACACAUGCAAGUCGAGCGCCCCGCAAGGGGAGCGGCAGACGGGUGAGUAACGCGUGGGAAUCUACCUAUCUCUACGGAAUAACUCAGGGAAACUUGUGCUAAUACCGUAUACGCCCUUCGGGGGAAAGAUUUAUCGGAGAUGGAUGAGCCCGCGUUGGAUUAGCUAGUUGGUGGGGUAAAGGCCUACCAAGGCGACGAUCCAUAGCUGGUCUGAGAGGAUGAUCAGCCACACUGGGACUGAGACACGGCCCAGACUCCUACGGGAGGCAGCAGUGGGGAAUAUUGGACAAUGGGCGCAAGCCUGAUCCAGCCAUGCCGCGUGAGUGAUGAAGGCCCUAGGGUUGUAAAGCUCUUUCACCGGUGAAGAUAAUGACGGUAACCGGAGAAGAAGCCCCGGCUAACUUCGUGCCAGCAGCCGCGGUAAUACGAAGGGGGCUAGCGUUGUUCGGAUU
rnacentral:rRNA from 1 species